CAUGCAAGUCGAGCGGUAGAGAGGAGCUUGCUUCUCUUGAGAGCGGCGGACGGGUGAGUAAUGCCUAGGAAUCUGCCUAGUGGUGGGGGAUAACGUUCGGAAACGGACGCUAAUACCGCAUACGUCCUACGGGAGAAAGCGGGGGACCUUCGGGCCUCGCGCCAUUAGAUGAGCCUAGGUCGGAUUAGCUAGUUGGUGAGGUAACGGCUCACCAAGGCGACGAUCCGUAACUGGUCUGAGAGGAUGAUCAGUCACACUGGAACUGAGACACGGUCCAGACUCCUACGGGAGGCAGCAGUGGGGAAUAUUGGACAAUGGGCGAAAGCCUGAUCCAGCCAUGCCGCGUGUGUGAAGAAGGUCUUCGGAUUGUAAAGCACUUUAAGUUGGGAGGAAGGGUAGUAACUUAAUACGUUGCUAUUUUGACGUUACCGACAGAAUAAGCACCGGCUAACUCUGUGCCAGCAGCCGCGGUAAUACAGAGGGUGCAAGCGUUAAUCGGAAUUACUGGGCGUAAAGCGCGCGUAGGUGGUUUGUUAAGUUGGAUGUGAAAGCCCCGGGCUCAACCUGGGAACUGCAUCCAAAACUGGCAAGCUAGAGUACGGUAGAGGGUGGUGGAAUUUCCUGUGUAGCGGUGAAAUGCGUAGAUAUAGGAAGGAACACCAGUGGCGAAGGCGACCACCUGGACUGAUACUGACACUGAGGUGCGAAAGCGUGGGGAGCAAACAGGAUUAGAUACCCUGGUAGUCCACGCCGUAAACGAUGUCAACUAGCCGUUGGGAG
rnacentral:rRNA from 1 species